AAAUACUCUGUUCUUUUUUUCCUCUGUUCCUCCAUUUUUUGCAGGUCGUCGCUGGUUGCAGUUCCAGCUCGGACCCGAUUCCUCCUCGCCGCCUCAGCUUGAGAUGAUGGGGCUGCUAACAGACCUUCCCCAGAUAGUAUCGCAUUCCUCUUUGUGAUCGCGUGCAGCCUCCGCUGCUCCGCCAUUUCCGCCAAGUCGUCUGGUGAACCCAUCCCCUCCCUGACUCGAUUUCUUCUCUGUAACUCACUGGGUUCCGUUGUGUCUGGAAGGUACCCAUCCCCAGCAAGCUUUGCAAACCUAAAACCGUCCGCCUU
rnacentral:lncRNA from 1 species